CUAAGGCGAGGCCGAAAGGCGUAGCCGAUGGGAACCACGUUAAUAUUCGUGGGCCUGGGAGUGUGUGACGGAUUUCGAAAGUUGUAUCACCUUAUCGGAUUGGUGAUGCAGCCUGGAAGUCCCUGGAAAUAGCCCUCCCGUAUAGACCGUACCCUAAACCGACACAGGUGGAUAGGUAGAGAAUACCAAGGCGCUUGAGAGAACGAUGCUGAAGGAACUCGGCAAAUUACCUCCGUAACUUCGGGAGAAGGAGGCCUCACUCUAGGCAACUAGAACUGAGGGGCACAGACCAG
rnacentral:rRNA from 1 species